UACGUAGGGGGCAAGCGUUGUCCGGAUUUAUUGGGCGUAAAGAGCGUGUAGGCGGCUUGGUAGGUCCGCUGUGAAAACUCGAGGCUCAACCUCGAGAUGUCGGCGGAAACCAUUUGGCUAGAGUCCGGAAGAGGAAAGUGGAAUUCCUGGUGUAGCGGUGAAAUGCGCAGAUAUCAGGAAGAACACCAAUGGCGAAAGCAGCUUUCUGGGACGGUACUGACGCUGAGACGCGAAAGCGUGGGGAGCGAACAGG
rnacentral:rRNA from 1 species